rnacentral:rRNA from 1 species
CUUGCACCAAGUGAUCAUUUCAUAACUUAGUGGCGGACGGGUGAGUAACGCGUGGGUAACCUGCCAUAUACAGGGGGAUAACACUUAGAAAUAGGUGCUAAAACCGCAUAAGCGCACAGCUUCGCAUGAAGCAGUGUGAAAAACUCCGGUGGUAUAUGAUGGACCCGCGUCUGAUUAGCCAGUUGGCAGGGUAACGGCCUACCAAAGCGACGAUCAGUAGCCGGCCUGAGAGGGUGAACGGCCACAUUGGGACUGAGACACGGCCCAAACUCC